CGAACGGCAGCACGGGGGCAACCCUGGUGGCGAGUGGCGAACGGGUGAGUAAUACAUCGGAACGUGUCCAGUAGUGGGGGAUAGCCCGGCGAAAGCCGGAUUAAUACCGCAUACGAUCUUAGGAUGAAAGCGGGGGACCGAAAGGCCUCGCGCUAUUGGGGCGGCCGAUGGCGGAUUAGCUAGUUGGUGGGGUAAAGGCUCACCAAGGCGACGAUCCGUAGCUGGUCUGAGAGGACGACCAGCCACACUGGGACUGAGACACGGCCCAGACUCCUACGGGAGGCAGCAGUGGGGAAUUUUGGACAAUGGGGGCAACCCUGAUCCAGCAAUGCCGCGUGUGUGAAGAAGGCCUUCGGGUUGUAAAGCACUUUUGUCCGGAAAGAAAUCUUCUGCCCUAAUACGGCGGGAGGAUGACGGUACCGGAAGAAUAAGCACCGGCUAACUACGUGCCAGCAGCCGCGGUAAUACGUAGGGUGCGAGCGUUAAUCGGAAUUACUGGGCGUAAAGCGUGCGCAGGCGGUUCGCUAAGACCGAUGUGAAAUCCCCGGGCUUAACCUGGGAACUGCAUUGGUGACUGGCGGGCUAGAGUGUGGCAGAGGGGGGUAGAAUUCCACGUGUAGCAGUGAAAUGCGUAGAGAUGUGGAGGAAUACCGAUGGCGAAGGCAGCCCCCUGGGCCAACACUGACGCUCAUGCACGAAA
rnacentral:rRNA from 1 species